UACACUUAGUGUAAUCUCUCGUUUUCUGGC
rnacentral:piRNA from 1 species